rnacentral:tRNA from 1 species
CGGGGCGUAGCGCAGCCUGGUAGCGCGUCUGAAUGGGGUUCAGAAGGUCCCCGGUUCAAAUCCGGGCGCCCCGACCA